rnacentral:rRNA from 1 species
UACGUAGGGGGCAAGCGUUGUCCGGAAUCAUUGGGCGUAAAGCGCGUGUAGGCGGCCCGGUAAGUCCGCUGUGAAAGUCGGGGGCUCAACCCUCGAAUGCCGGUGGAUACUGUCGGGCUAGAGUGCGGAAGAGGCGAGUGGAAUUCCUGGUGUAGCGGUGAAAUGCGCAGAUAUCAGGAGGAACACCGAUGGCGAAGGCAGGUCUCUGGGCAGUAACUGACGCUGAGGAGCGAAAGCGUGGGGAGCGAACAGG